rnacentral:rRNA from 1 species
GACGAACGCUGGCGGCGUGCUUAACACAUGCAAGUCGAACGGUGAAGCGCCUUCCUUUUUGGUGGGUGUGGAUGAGUGGCGAACGGGUGAGUAACACGUGAGUAACCUGCCCCCUUCUUCUGGAUAACCGCAUGAAAGUGUGGCUAAUACGGGAUAUUCUGGGUCUGUCGCAUGAUGGGUCUGGGAAAGAUAUUGUUUCGGUGGGGGAUGGGCUCGCGGCCUAUCAGCUUGUUGGUGGGGUGAUGGCCUACCAAGGCGGUGACGGGUAGCCGGCCUGAGAGGGUGGACGGUCACACUGGGACUGAGACACGGCCCAGACUCCUACGGGAGGCAGCAGUGGGGAAUAUUGCACAAUGGGCGCAAGCCUGAUGCAGCGACGCCGCGUGAGGGAUGGAGGCCUUCGGGUUGUGAACCUCUUUCGCCAGUGGAGCAGGCCUGCCUCGUUUGUGGGUGGGUUGACGGUAGCUGGAUAAGAAGCGCCGGCUAACUACGUG